rnacentral:lncRNA from 1 species
GCAGUUGUAGCAUUUUAAUCAAAUAAAAGACAGACAGAGUGUUUUGCAACUUUGCAAUGACUGUUAAGAAAUCACGUAAUCCGUACUGAAAACAACCAUCGAUUAAUUCAUUGUUAGUCUGACCUAUUUACAGUAUGAGAGAUGAUUCCAAAUUACAAUAUUCUGCAGUGAAUACAGGUUACACUAUUUCAAAGUUAAGUAAAAUAAACCCUUGGACGCCGUUGGCCAUAUGUUAUGGGGAGUUGAUUGUAAUAGUCAUACUCCUUUCCAGAAGUAGCAGUAUUCCGGAGAACUGUGAAAAUAUCCAGUACAAAGGGACUACUUGUUCAUUUGUGAUUCGUCAAUAAAUGAGAGAGAUUGGGAAUUUAAUUUUGACUCUAGCGAUGACGAUUGCGAUGUCUGCAUUGGGAUCGUUUCUGAGUUUGCUUUGUUUUUCACACAUGUGAACUAUGGAGGGUCACAUUCUGCAACUAAUUCAGGUAAUAAUACUUAAUAACAGUUAAAUUAACAUUAAUUAUACGUUAUUAAUCUGUUGUCAAUUUAGACGUCUUAGAACAUAAUGCUUAGGAUGACAAGCAUAUGCUACUUAUUUGCAUAAUAUCGUUAGAUUAUUAUAUAGGUCAUUUUGUUGGGGUUGUAGGUAAUUGUGAACAUUAGUCUAUCAAAUUUUUUCUAAAAAGGCUUGGUUGGCGUUUAUAGCUCCACUACAUUUUGCCAUAAAAAUUCAUAGAGAACAUCGACUUGCACUUCCAGUCCCCAAUUUAAAAACGUUUUUAUUUCUUAAUUGUUAAUAUUUUCUAAACCCUGGUUUUGAAAGCCGAGUCUAAUGAUAAGUGAAGGAAUUCAAAAUUGCUACCGCAGCCUAACUCUCAGAAUACUUUGCAGUAAUUUGGGUUGCCUAUUUAAAGGACCAGCAGUCGUCAGGAGAUUUAAAACAAUUUGUAUUUUAAAUUCAAAUUAUGAUGAUACCUUCGCGCGAAAUGAGGGCGCUGUUGUCGAGUUAAAGGUAGAAAUAUUACAGUGCGAUUAGAAAUUUGUAAGCAACUAAAUUUUUGAAUUUUAAUAAAAUAAUCUAAAUUUAUUUGGUACGUGAGCAAUCUAUAAAAAUAAUUAUGAUUUUACAAUACCUAACACUUAUUGUAAAUGAAGUUUUAUCAGUUUGUGUUGUAUAUUUCUGUAAUGUGAUCAUUUUUACGUUGUGUCCCGUACAUUACAACUUUUUAUACGUUCUCUGAUAGUCAAAGAUGAUUAUAGUUAAAUAUGCGGACAAAAAACUGUU